rnacentral:rRNA from 1 species
AUGACGUCAAGUCAUCAUGGCCCUUACGGCCUGGGCUACACACGUGCUACAAUGGUCGGUACAAAGGGUUGCCAAGCCGCGAGGUGGAGCUAAUCCCAUAAAACCGAUCGUAGUCCGGAUCGCAGUCUGCAACUCGACUGCGUGAAGUCGGAAUCGCUAGUAAUCGUGAAUCAGGAUGUCACGGUGAAUACGUUCCCGGGCCUU